UGCCCUAUGGCGCAAUUGGCAGCGCGUCAGACUGUUAUUCGCACAUCAUACGAUUGAUAAUCUGGAGGCUCUGAGUUCGACCCUCAGUGGGGCAG